rnacentral:rRNA from 1 species
GACGAACGCUGGCGGCGUGCCUAAUACAUGCAAGUCGAACGAGAGCGACCGGUGCUUGCACUGGUCAAUCUAGUGGCGAACGGGUGAGUAACACGUGGGUAACCUGCCCAUCAGAGGGGGAUAACAUUCGGAAACGGAUGCUAAAACCGCAUAGGUUCUUUAGUCGCAUGACUGAAGAAGGAAAAGAGGCUUCGGCUUCUGCUGAUGGAUGGACCCGCGGUGCAUUAGCUAGUUGGUGAGGUAACGGCUCACCAAGGCGAUGAUGCAUAGCCGACCUGAGUGGGUGAUCGGCCACAUUGGGACUGAGACACGGCCCAAACUCCUACGGGAGGCAGCAGUAGGGAAUCUUCCGCAAUGGACGCAAGUCUGACGGAGCAACGCCGCGUGAGUGAAGAAGGAUUUCGGUUCGUAAAACUCUGUUGUUAGAGAAGAACAGCGCAUAGAGUAACUGUUAUGCGUGUGACGGUAUCUAACCAGAAA